UGCGUAGGUGGCAAGCGUUAUCCGGAUUUACUGGGUGUAAAGGGCGUGUAGGCGGGAUUACAAGUCAGAUGUGAAAACUAUGGGCUCAACCCAUAGCCUGCAUUUGAAACUGUAGUUCUUGAGUGAUGGAGAGGCAGACGGAAUUCCUCGUGUAGCGGUGAAAUGCGUAGAUAUGAGGAGGAACACCAGUGGCGAAGGCGGUCUGCUGGACAUUAACUGACGCUGAGGCGCGAAAGCGUGGGGAGCAAACAGGAUUAGAUACCCUGGUAGUCCACGCUGUAAACGAUGGAUACUAGGUGUGGGGGGACUGACCCCCUCCGUGCCGGAGUUAACACAAUAAGUACCCCGCCUGGGGAGUACGGUCGCAAGACUGAA
rnacentral:rRNA from 1 species